AUUGAGUUUGCUGCGGAAAAAGAUUUAAAAUGGCAGAUGCACCAAAAGUUUCCAGGCCAAUGAAAUUUCCUUAUACUUUUUCUGCCAAACUCGCCCAGUUCCCAUGGAAAUAUCAUUUGAAGAACCAGUGGCUGUGGAAAUAUUACGCAAUUUCUGUUGUUGUUUGCAUACCAAUUUUCAAAUCGAUUAGUAAUUUAGCAAAUUCCCCUGCUAAUGUGGCAAAAUGGGCUGAAAUUCGUCGCAGGGAAUCAGAAGAGCACCACCAUUGAAGACAUAAUCAUUCCGCAAUGGUAGAAAAAGUAGACCUAGCUCAUGUUCUCACAGUUUGAUGGGUAUAAAAUACAAGAAAUCCGUUAUUAAAAACAGUGUAAAACUCCUCUACAUGUGCUAAUUGUUAAUAAAUAUAUGUAUAAACACUU